rnacentral:rRNA from 1 species
AAAGGAAUAGACGGGGGCCCGCACAAGCGGUGGAGCAUGUGGUUUAAUUCGACGCAACGCGAAGAACCUUACCAGGGCUUGACAUCCUCUGACGCCCAUAGAGAUAUGGGGUUUGGUCUUCGGACUGACAGAGAGACAGGUGGUGCAUGGUUGUCGUCAGCUCGUGUCGUGAGAUGUUGGGUUAAGUCCCGCAACGAGCGCAACCCUUAUUCUUAGUUGCCAUCAUUAAGUUGGGCACUCUAAGGAGACUGCCGGUGACAAACCGGAGGAAGGUGGGGAUGACGUCAAAUCAUCAUGCCCUUUAUGUCCUGGGCUACACACGUGCUACAAUGGCCUGUACAGAGGGUAGCGAAGCUGCGAAGCGGAGCCAAUCCCAAAAAGCAGGUCUCAGUUCGGAUUGCAGGCUGCAACUCGCCUGCAUGAAGUCGGAAUCGCUAGUAAUCGCGAAUCAGCAUGUCGCGGUGAAUACGUUCCCGGGCCUUGUACACACCGCCCGU